rnacentral:rRNA from 1 species
CCUACGGGUGGCAGCAGUGACGAAUAUGGGGCAAUGGAGGCAACUCUGACCCAGCCAUGCCGCGUGCAGGAAGACGGCCCUAUGGGUUGUAAACUGCUUUUAUACAGGAAGAAACACUCCUUCGUGUAGGAGCUUGACGGUACUGUAAGAAUAAGGUCCGGCUAACUCCGUGCCAGCAGCCGCGGUAAUACGGAGGGUCCAAGCGUUAUCCGGAAUCAUUGGGUUUAAAGGGUCCGUAGGCGGUCAAUUAAGUCAGAGGUGAAAUCCCACAGCUCAACUGUGGAACUGCCUUUGAAACUGGUUGUCUUGAGUUAUAUAGAAGUAGGUAGAAUAUGUAGUGUAGCGGUGAAAUGCAUAGAUAUUACAUAGAAUACCGAUUGCGAAGGCAGUUCACUAGAUCAGUACUGACGCUGAUGGACGAAAGCGUGGGGAGCGAACAGGAUUAGAUACCCUGGUAG